rnacentral:rRNA from 1 species
GACGAACGCUGGCGGCGUGCUUAACACAUGCAAGUCGAGCGGUAAGGCCCUUUCGGGGGUACACGAGCGGCGAACGGGUGAGUAACACGUGGGUGACCUGCCCUCAGCUCUGGGAUAAGCCUGGGAAACCGGGUCUAAUACUGGAUAUGACUCCAUGACGCAUGUUGUGGGGUGGAAAGCCUUGUGCGGCUGAGGAUGGGCCCGCGGCCUAUCAGCUUGGUUGGUGGGGUGANGGCCUACCAAGGCGACGACGGGUAGCCGGCCUGAGAGGGCGACCGGCCACACUGGGACUGAGACACGGCCCAGACUCCUACGGGAGGCAGCAGGUGGGGAAUCUUGCGCAAUGGGCGAAAGCCUGACGCAGCGACGCCGCGUGAGGGAUGACGGCCUGG